ACACGACUACAUUAGAUACCCCUGUAGUCCUAGCCGUAAACGAUACUCGCUAGGUGUCGGCCACGGUGCGACCGUUGUCGGUGCCGUAGGGAAGCCGUGAAGCGAGCCACCUGGGAAGUACGGCCGCAAGGCUGAAACUUAAAGGAAUUGGCGGGGGAGCACAACAACGGGUGGAGCUUGCGGUUUAAUAGGAUUCAACGCCGGAAAUCUUACCGGGACCGACAGCAACAUGAAGGCCAAGCUGAAGACUUUGCCGGAUUAGCUG
rnacentral:rRNA from 1 species